CACGUAGGAGGCAAACGUUAUCCGGAUUUACUGGGCGUAAAGCGCGUGUAGGUGGUUCUGUAAGUAGGGCGUGAAAGCUCCCGGCUCAACUGGGAGAGGCCGUUCUAAACUGCAGAGCUAGAGGAUGGUAGAGGGAGGUGGAAUUCCAGGUGUAGCGGUGGAAUGCGCAGAUAUCUGGAGGAACACCAGUGGCGAAGGCGGCCUCCUGGACCAUUCCUGACACUCAGACGCGAAGGCGUGGGGACCAAACAGGAUUAGAUACCCCUGUAGUCCCU
rnacentral:rRNA from 1 species